rnacentral:rRNA from 1 species
GAUGAACGCUGGCGGCGUGCCUAAUACAUGCAAGUCGAGCGAACAGACGAGGAGCUUGCUCCUUUGACGUUAGCGGCGGCCGGGUGAGUAACACGUAGGUAACCUACCUAUAAGACUGGGAUAACUUCGGGAAACCGGAGCUAAUACCGGAUAAUAUUUCGAACCGCAUGGUUCGAUAGUGAAAGAUGGCUUUGCUAUCACUUAUAGAUGGACCUGCGCCGUAUUAGCUAGUUGGUAAGGUAACGGCUUACCAAGGCAACGAUACGUAGCCGACCUGAGAGGGUGAUCGGCCACACUGGAACUGAGACACGGUCCAGACUCCUACGGGAGGCAGCAGUAGGGAAUCUUCCGCAAUGGGCGAAAGCCUGACGGAGCAACGCCGCGUGAGUGAUGAAGGUCUUCGGAUCGUAAAACUCUGUUAUUAGGGAAGAACAAACGUGUAAGUAACUGUGCACGUCUUGACGGUACCUAAUCAGAAAGCCACGGCUAACUACGUG